rnacentral:lncRNA from 7 species
AAGGAAUGAAGAGCAGACAUGCUCAGAGCAACUGAUAGGCGGCUAGGAAGACUUUGAGAAGACUUGUGGCUUAUGACAAACUAAAAUCCUUUACAAACAAAUUUACAAUUAGUUUGAUACACAGUCAGCAAUGCUUGAUUGGAUUUCUGAGGAGCUGGGAAAUUCUGGAUGAAUCAGAGAACUUCAUCUCUUUUUAAAUGUGCCUAAUGUUCUGUCAGCCAUGCAGACAAUGGAAAACAUUUGUCAAAACAGAUGGCAGUGCUAGCCUCUCCACCACUGAACACAAAGGCAUCACUAAAGUUCUGCUGUUGGGAAAGUUGUGGACUAACAGCCUUUCCUGUGAGACUUCCAGUAUUUCCUGAUUACAGCCAGGAAAGCAAUAGAGGAAGAAAUGUCUCUUGCACUAUUUUGAUACUUAUGCUCCAGAUCCCCAGAGAGGAGGGAAGCAAAGAUCUGCAGCUGAUACAUGAUCACCAGUUCUUUGUGUAAGUGCCCUUGCAUAACAGAACAGCUGAAUAUAAAUGUAUUUUUCAUAGCUUCCUUUACAGUUUGCACUGUAAAGACUUCCUUUCCUGGAAAGAGCUGGCAUGUCAUUGCAUUUUUGUAAAAGUAAUGAGUUCCUCUUGAAGGGGUAAAUCAGAAAGUCAUAAAAAAAAAUCAACCCAGGCAGCUGACAAGAUGUUUUAGAAGCAGCUGAAAAUGAAAUGGAAAACCUUUCAAACUUGUUGUUCCUAGCCUGUUCAUAUUAAAUCUGUUCUAUAAUUGCUGCCU